rnacentral:rRNA from 1 species
GAUGAACGCUGGCGGUAUGCUUAACACAUGCAAGUCGAACGGACUCUCCGGAGUUAGUGGCGGACGGGUGAGUAACGCGUGAGAAUCUGGCUUUGGGUUCGGGACAACCACUGGAAACGGUGGCUAAUACCGGAUGUGCCGAGAGGUAAAAGAGAAAUUGCCUGAAGAUGAGCUCGCGUCUGAUUAGCUAGUUGGUGAGGUAAAGGCUCACCAAGGCAGCGAUCAGUAGCUGGUCUGAGAGGAUGACCAGCCACACUGGGACUGAGACACGGCCCAGACUACUAGGGGAGGCAGCAGUGGGGAAUUUUCAGCAAUGGGCGAAAGGCUGACGGAGCAAUACCGCGUGAGGGAAGAAGGCUAUUGGGUAGUAAACCUCUUUUCUUAGGGAAGAACAAAAUGACGGUACCUAAGGAAUCAGCAUCGGCUAACUCCGUG